rnacentral:misc_RNA from 1 species
GUAUAAUGAUUUAUAGGCCUUUUUAAGAGCCUUUAUAACCGUUCAUUAACAUUCAUUGGUGUAUAUAAAGUCAUAGAACUUGAAUACAGAAAAAGCUGUUAUUGUAACAGCAAUCUCCAAGUGACCAAAUUAAAAAUUGAUCAAUAAUGAACAAGUCUAUGCAUAGUGCACAUAGUGGAAAGAUAAAAAUGACAGAUGAGCACAUACUCUAGUGAGCCAGCAUCUACCUAUCAAGUUUAUUCAAUAAUGAUCCUUCCGCAGGUUCACCUACGGAAA